UUACGGCCAUAAAUUGUUGAAAGACCGGUUUCUGUACGAUCACCGAAGUUAAGCAACGUUGAACCUGGUCAGUACCUAGAUGGGUGACCGCUUGGGAAUACCAGGUUUUGU
rnacentral:rRNA from 1 species